rnacentral:rRNA from 1 species
AGUGAACGCUGGCGGCAGGCCUAACACAUGCAAGUCGAACGGCACCACACUAAGAGCUUGUUCUUACGAGUGGCGAGUGGCGGACGUGUGAGGCGUACGUCGGACUCUACUUUUUCGUGGGGGAUAACGUAGGGAAACUUACACUAAUACCUCAUACUACCUACUGGUGACACCAUGCCACAUUCGGACCUUGCGCGAUUGAAUGAGCCGAUGUCGGAUUCGCUAGUUGGCGGGCUAAUGGCCCACUAAGGCGACGAUCCGUAGAUGAUCUGAAAGGAAGUUCAGCCACACUGGAACUGAGACACGGUCCAGACUCCUACGGGGGGCAGCAGUGGGGAAUAUUGGACAAUGGGGGCAAGCCUGAUCCAGCCAUACCGCGUGAGUGAAGAAGGCCUGCGGGUUGUAAAGCCCUUUUGUUGGGAAGGAAAAGCAGCAGGUUAAUACCCCGCUGUUCUGACGGUACCCAAAGAAGAAGCACCGGCUAACUUCGUG